AACGAACGCUGGCGGCAUGCCUAACACAUGCAAGUCGAACGAGACCUUCGGGUCUAGUGGCGCACGGGUGCGUAACGCGUGGGAACCUGCCCUUAGGUUAGGAAUAACUCCCCGAAAGGGGUGCUAAUACCGGAUAAUGUCUUCGGACCAAAGAUUUAUCGCCGUUGGAUGGGCCCGCGUUGGAUUAGCUAGUUGGUAGGGUAAAAGCCUACCAAGGCGACGAUCCAUAGCUGGUCUGAGAGGAUGAUCAGCCACACUGGGACUGAGACACGGCCCAGACUCCUACGGGAGGCAGCAGUGGGGAAUAUUGGACAAUGGGCGAAAGCCUGAUCCAGCAAUGCCGCGUGAGUGAUGAAGGCCUUAGGGUUGUAAAGCUCUUUUACCCGGGAUGAUAAUGACAGUACCGGGAGAAUAAGCUCCGGCUAACUCCGUG
rnacentral:rRNA from 1 species